rnacentral:rRNA from 1 species
UACGAAGGGGGCUAGCGUUGUUCGGAAUUUCUGGGCGUAAAGCGCGCGCAGGCGGCUAUCCAAGUCAGUGGUGAAAGCCCGGAGCUCAACUCCGGAACUGCCAUUGAAACUGUUUAGCUUGAGGACGAGAGAGGUGAGUGGAAUUCCCAGUGUAGAGGUGAAAUUCGUAGAUAUUGGGAAGAACACCGGUGGCGAAGGCGGCUCACUGGCUCGUAUCUGACGCUCAGGCGCGACAGCGUGGGGAUCAAACAGG